AACUUGAUCUUCUCACAGUACUUCACACUGACCGUGAGAGAUUUGCUUUCCUCCUCCAUAUUUAAAGACCUUGGGAUCUCACGUGGCUUAUUCCUGAUAAUCCAAGAUAACCUUCCAAUUUUAAGGCUGGAGUGCAGUAGCACGAUCUGGGCUCACUACAAUCUCUGCCUCCUGGGUUCAAGGGAUUCUCCUGCCUCAGCCUCCCAAGUAGCUGGGAUUACAGGUUUCCCUUGGCUUCAAUUUUCCACCCUUGAUGAAAACAAUGUUGCUUUCAGUCUAGGACAUUAGCAAGAUGGCCGAUUUGAGGCUAAUACCACUCUCUUCUUCCCACAAAAAUCCCAAAGCAACAAAUAAAGAUCUAAGUUUUGAUCA
rnacentral:lncRNA from 13 species